AGUCAACCGUUCAGUAGCAUAUGAGACAGUGUAGUGUGGUAGAAAGAGUGGGGAGAUUGCAGCCAAACUGACCUGGGUUUGAAUCUUGGCUCUGGCAUUUUUGUGUCUUUUGCAGGUUACUCUACUUCUUCGUGAAUUUAACUUCCUAAUCUGUAAAGCAGGAAAGACAACACCUUUCAGAGUCAUGGUACUUCCACUGCAUGGAUAUUCAGAGUUUCCACAGCUGUCCUGGGAAGAUUUUGGCAGUGGCUCAUCUGCACCACAGUCCAGUGUCCCUCCAGUAGAAGCGGGAUUUCCAGUCAUCCGAUCACUUCUCGGACUCCCCCUGGGGAACCAGCAGUGACAAUGUCCUGGUGCACUGUGGCCGGUAGACAGCAGAGGGCACCUCUUGCCUGCAAUGGAAUGCAAACAGACCCUGAGAGCCAGAGAUGUGAAAGACGCCAGCCCCAUGGUGGCCACACUGACUGCUGCUCCCCGGUUUCUCUCACUCUAUACCACUGCAUUGGUUCUACCAGCAUUUGUUCUCUACUCCCCCACAUUCAACCCCACCCUCUGCUUGGGACAGCCUGUUGGUCUUUCAUGACUUUUGAGUGAAGAGGGAGCUUUGGACUCGGAGGGGGUUGAUUCUCCUGCAAGCUGGGGACUGCCGGCAGUAACUCCUCCAGGCCUUUGUUGAGAGAGGCCUUCCGAUCGCGUGUGGAACUUUGUUUUAUUAAAUCUGAUGAGUUCUAUAUUUUUGCCACAUGUCACAGAUCACCCACGUUGACUGAGCCCUGCCAGAGCUGAGCUGCUGUUACCCUGAAAUGAAACCAGAUUUUUUAAGUGGGUGGGGGUAAUUCCAGUUUGGUGCAAUAAAUUAUAUGGUUCUGCUU
rnacentral:lncRNA from 10 species